rfam:Gossypium hirsutum cultivar TM-1 chromosome 10, whole genome shotgun sequence
CUGAAGGAAACGCUUUGUCCACAUGGAUAGAAAACGCGUCCUUGAGGGUGCGCUUUGUGUCCACGUGCACAAAGCGCUUCCUUGAGG